AUGCUCACUUUGGCAGCAUAUGUCCUAAAAUUGGAAUCACUCAGAGAUUAGCACGACACUUGCACAAAGACAGCACACAUAUUUGUGAAGCAUGUUGUAUUUUG
rnacentral:snRNA from 1 species